GGGAGCGGGGCCUGGCUGGGGAGCGGCUGAUGACAGCACAGAGCGAUACCGGGGGGGGGGGCGGGGGAGGUCACUGACAGGAGAGGGGCGCGGGGGGCGGAUAACGCUGAGGGAGGGGGCAGGGCCGGGCCCGUUACCUGUCAGGCCUCCCGGCCGCGGGCCUAGCGGGCGCUGCAAGUUGUGAGGCUCCAUCCCCCGCUGAGCGGGGCCGAACGCAGGGGGCAGCCCGAGGGGCCCCGCAGGCGGCAGGCGCUGCGCCCCGGGCGCGGGGAGGCUCGGGGAGGGCUCUGAAGCGCAGCCCUGGCCGUGCCCCCCCGGCCCGUGCCCUGUUUACCCCCUCAGCUGUCCGGGGCUCAGCAGCACCCCCCGCAGCCGCUCGCCCCGCGCCGCUCUGCGCAUGCGCCACGCUAACUGCGCCACCGCCUCCCGGGCACCCGCAGCGAUCUCGGCGCCACGCAAACGGCGGAGAAACGUGGAUCUGCGUGACGAGCCAGCGGGUGGCAGCAUCGGCAGAGCGCUGCCUCGGUGCGGCUCGGCCCUGCGCGGCUGGCAGCGCCUGCAGGCCGGGCUGUGAAGGGCUCCAGGCCCUCUGGGUCCCUCCCUGCGACUUAAAGUGCAGCUCAGAGCCGAGCGCUGGGAGCUCUACUCAUGGCAAUGAACGGACCUGCGCUGACAGCUCGGCUGUGCGGCCCGCAGGUGCCAUCGGAGCUCCUCGCACAGCAGGCCGGCUGCAGAUGCCCUUGACAUGGAAGCGGAGAGGAAAGUGGGGCAGAGGAGGCCUCGGAGGGAGCUGAGGGGAAUCGCUGCUGCACUUCAGGAGCCCGCUGCAGUCACGGAGGGAACUGGAAGCACUGUGGGGAAUGUAAACAAGGCGUUGUCCUCCCAGAGCCGUGUAAACACCACCUCAGAGCGCCCUCAGUGCACAGGGCUGCCGGAUUCUCAGUCUGAAGAGAGCAAGGGAUGAAACUGCCUGCAAGCUGUGCCUGUUCUGCGCACAGCACAUAAGGCAGAGCAAUUUAAGAAGGCACUGCUUAAUGCUGGCAGUAAAUACAGAGCUCCCAUUCUGCCCUCAGUUUGCACAAAAAAAAGAAUUUCAGUGUGUGUGUGUAUAUAUAUACAUAUAUAAAGCUUCAGAAAACUGAUGAGAAAGUGAAUUUUACGCUGCAUGCUGUAGGGAAGGAGUCGAAGCACACACGUGUGCAGGUUCAUAGACAUCAGCCUUGCUCUGUGAGAGAGAAGCUGCACGACGUGCUGCAGACAUCUGACCAGCUGGAGCUGGACCAGGAUUUGUUUGCAGGUCGAAGUGGUUCAAAUAGAGCAGCUGAAAUGAAAUGUAGCGGCAUGCAUCCUUUAUUUCCCACUUCCCUGUGCUGACGGACCGGAGGAAAAGAAAAUCUCAUGGCAGGGAAAGCCUGAUGUGCAUCCAUUCUGCUCAGCCAUGCAUGAGUUGGAUGUGGGGACGAGGGAGCAAAGUGCAAACACAGAGCUGGUGGUGCUGAGUUGGUCUUCAUCAAAUAAAUACACAGAGGAUGAGAAAGAAAGGGCUGGCUCUGAUAGAGAGAUAGACUAUACACGUAUAAAAACUAUUUGUAGCCUAUGUGGCCUUCGUGGUCUGCGUUCCUGGCUUCUUUGUGAAAACCUACAGCAAACACUUUCCUCCUUCUUGCGUGCCUGCCUGGGUUCACCUCCCUGCACAGCGUAAAUGAUGUUUACCUUCUGAUGAUUAAUGUCUGCUGGAAAAUAUUCAGAUCAAAGGUACGAUGGAACAGCAGAGCUUUGCUGCAGACUCUAUCAAUACGAGUACUGAAUUCUGCAUGACUUUUGUGUCAACACGACUCCGGGCAUGUGCUGGGUCCUGUAUUGGGGUGUGCUGGGUUAUGAAAGCGUGUGCUUCUGUAGCCUGGAGGAGGUGGGCUCAGAGCAAGCGGGUACCCAUUGCACGGCUGCUUGGAGGAAGGAGGGGAAUGCAUUUCCAGGGACAUGCUUGGCUUUCCAGGGAAGACAAUUACGACAUUAGAUUUGGAGGCAGCUAUAUCCACAGGGUGUGAUUUUGCUCUCUGAGAUACAACAAACUCUGGUAUAUUAUAACUUAUAUAAUUUGCUUGAUUGGGCAUUUUUAAAGCUCUGUCUACCUUCUCAUGCAGCUGCAUUGCUCUCCCUUUGCAGGCCAAGCAGCUGAAGCCUCAUUAUGCUCUCUUGUGCAAGUUCCACAACUCGCAGAGAGCAUCUCAGCUGGGCCAUAAAACUGCAGGUAAGUGGGCUGCUCCCACAGCACAUGAGCUGGAAAAAACCCACCAAGGCUGGUGGAUACUCGGAUAUGUGGAUAUUUGCCAACAUCACAGCACUGCAGUGUUGGCCCAUUUACUCUGGAACAGAGAUUGGAUGGGAUGUCUCCAGGCCUUCGUGUCCUGAUGGGGGAGAAGCAGGAAUAUCUUUCCUCUUUGUCACAAAUUUGCAUCAAUUUCAGUCCUUCCCAGGGUUCAGUAAGUUGAAAGGCCUCUGUCUGCACAGUGCAGCCAAGCAGCAAAGUAGCAAGCAGUCAGUCUGAUGCUGCAUCAUAUAAUAGCUGUGUGCAGACAGUUCGUGCCAACCCACCACGAGUGCUGCUCGAUCCGGGCGUGAGGAGGUGGAAGAAUCUGACCCUGUUAUUUCAAGGCAACGCUGUACCAGCUUUAGCUUCUCUUAACUGUUUGUGGAAGAAAACCAGGGCCAGUGUUUGCUCCUGAACAAGUGUGUGGUUGUGUGCGAGCUCCUGGUGCAGUCCUGCUCCAGCUGAGACACAGAGCAACUGCUGCCACCUCAGCCAGGCCUCUCACCCAGACAUACAGAAGCUCUCUCAAAACGAGGAACGUUCUGCGUUUCUCACUUAAUUGGUAAAACAGAUUAAUUUGACUACCGAGACCUGGAAGAAAGGAAUUGACACACCUAGCUGGUGAUUCACGUUAAUGGAUGGCUCACGCUGAUUAUUUCCACCAGCAACGCUUCCCUGCUCCCUCUUCCUGCCCAGCUCUGCCAGAGGACAAACGUCGGCGUUUCCUGCAGCCUUCCCUGAACGCCAGCACUUUGGGAACUGAUGCCAUCAACAGGAACGUCACUGAUGUAAAGCAGCAAAGUGUAACCUUCA